rnacentral:tRNA from 1 species
GGCUGAGUAGCUCAGUAGUAGAGCAGGGCCCUGAAAAGGCCUGUGUCGGGGGUGCGAUUCCCUCCUCAGCCACCA